GCUAAAUGCGGAAGAGAUAAGUGCUGAAAGCAUCUAAGCACGAAAACUUGCCCCGAGAUGAGUUCUCCCUGAGACUUAGAGUCUCCUGAAGGAACGUUGAAGACGACGACGUUGAUAGGCCGGGUGUGUAAGCGCAGCGAUGCGUUGAGCUAACCGGUACUAAUGAACCGUGAGGCUUAACCUUACAACGCCGAAG
rnacentral:rRNA from 1 species